GGGGCGGUAGCUCAGUUGGUAGAGCGCAUCGUUCGCAAUGAUGAGGCCGUGAGUUCGAAUCUCAUCCGCUCCA
rnacentral:tRNA from 1 species